GAGAACAGGGGCAAAGAAGUUACUAGUGCAAAUAAUUCAAAAGGAAAACAUGGUGUCAAACGACAUGACCGGUCAUUGAAAAUACCCGGUACACGCCUCAGAUCGAGCGUGGGCUUACGCGUGAACUCCAAUAGCAAAUAAAGACUUGCUUAUAAACUUAGCUGCGGAAAACUAGGAAAGGCUAAUUAAAGAAGUUGUUGAUAUGUUGAUAUAGAUCUUAUUAUGGGCUAAGACAAAAAAAACUCUAUUAAAAGUCAAAAGAGUGUGCCACAAAUUCUCAUUUGUUUUCGUUUCGGCCGUCGCCGUUGGAUCUCGUGUAAGGAUCAAAUGGGCUAUGAGCCUACCACGUGUCAUAUUAUCACUGAAGGCCUCGUUUUCUUCAAUCUCUCGACAACUUUCAUAAUUCCCUUUCUCCCCCACC